GCGUUUCCGUUUUCUCCCGGCUUUGUGUCUCUCGUCCUUCUCGCGUCUUACAUUUUCUCUCUGUGGCGUCUCGAAGCCGCUCUCCUCCUCUCUAUAUACCCCAAUUGGUCUUUAUCGGCCAUUCUUAUUCUCCAAGCUUCGUUUCGCCAAGGAUGAGCUCGCGUCAUCGCAGUGUUCGCUUCCAUAUAAUUACUUUCGGAAUCGGAUUGUUCCACUCGCAAGUAAGUAUUCUGACGGCUGCAAUAUAUAAUAAAGGAGUUUAGAAUUGUAAGCUGAUGGUUAUGUAUGAGCAUGAUCCUGAUGUCCUCAGAUGGGGCUUUGAUCUUCUUAACGGUGACCCAUUUUCAACUUCGAGCUAUUGUGGUGUCACUACUGAUAGUGAUACCAACUUUUAUGAUGGAGCCUACGUUAGAGAAGAUAAUUUUGUUACAGAUCACCCUUCUCUAGGGAGUGAUGAGAUUAUGGCGCAUGCUCUUCAGGAAGAAUUUUCACGGCUUGCUGUUGCUGAAGCAACUUGCCCCACAAAUGUAGGUGAGCAUUUGCAAGCAUCUGUUCUUGCAGAAAACUGGUUUGGUCCAACCACGAGCACGUUUACUUCAGCUUAUGAAGAUGGUGAGGAGGACUCGGAUGAUACAGACCCAUCUAGUUCUUGUUGUAGUCCAGGAGAAAUAUCACUUGAUGGAGACGAGUGGUUAUUAGAGCUGGCAGAGGAUUAUUCAACUAUAGAUGGUGAAUUAGGAAAAAGGUUGAAUCUCUUGGUUCCAAUUCCUCAUGUUCCUAGAAUUAAUGGUGAAAUUCCUUCUGUUGAUGAAGCUACAUCCGACCAUCAAAGACUUCUGGACAGGUUGCAAUUGUAUGACUUGGUUGAACUUAAGGUUCAAGGAGAUGGAAACUGUCAGUUUAGAGCAUUAUCUGAUCAGUUUUACCGUACUCCUGAACACCACAAGUUUGUGAGGCAGCAAAUCAUUAAUCAGCUUAAGUCUAAUCCGGAGAUCUAUGAAGGAUAUGUUCCCAUGACUUACGAUGACUACUUGAAGAAGCUCUCGAAAAAUGGUGAAUGGGGAGAUCACGUGACCUUACAAGCUGCUGCUGAUUCAUAUGGUGUUAAAAUAUUUGUCAUAACAUCAUUCAAAGACACCUGCUACAUAGAAAUCCUGCCUAAUGCUCAACGGUCCAAGCGAGUAAUUUUCUUGAGCUUCUGGGCUGAGGUUCACUAUAACUCCAUCUACCCCGAGGGAGAAUGCCGUCCGGAGACCAACUAGAAUGCGCCACAUCAACAGUACCGAGCCGUGGUACCGAGGAGCGGUACCGAGCAAUGGGGUGAUACUGCGUAUUUUGAUUGGUCUACGGAUGGCAUUCGGCUUCCGCACAACAUCUUCCAGCAGCAGAAGUCAAGAAAAAGAGAAGGUGGUGGCACUUUGGAAAUAAGCAUUAGGUGAAACUCAUUAGCCUCAACGAUGCGUGAGGCUUCUAAUUUUAGCAUUUCUCAUUUUACUUGGGGAACGUUGAUUUGAUUAGGGUUCUUAAACAUGUGAACCUUAGCAUCGGUCCCCAAUUUGAUAACAGCAAUGUAACUUCCUUUUCUCACUUUUCGAUGUCAAACUGUUAUUUACUCCUUUAUAAUAAUAGAUAAAUAAUUUAGAGGAAAUUACACUUA